rnacentral:rRNA from 1 species
GACGUAGGGCGCGAGCGUUGUCCGGAUUUAUUGGGCGUAAAGAGCUCGUAGGCGGCUUGUCGCGUCGACCGUGAAACCUCACAGCUCAACUGUGAGCCUGCGGUCGAUACUGGCAGGCUAGAGUUCGGUAGGGGAGACUGGAAUUCCUGGUGUAGCGGUGAAAUGCGCAGAUAUCAGGAGGAACACCGGUGGCGAAGGCGGGUCUCUGGGCCGAUACUGACGCUGAGGAGCGAAAGCGUGGGGAGCGAACAGG